rnacentral:rRNA from 1 species
AACUUUCAACAACGGAUCUCUUGGUUCUGGCAUCGAUGAAGAACGCAGCGAAAUGCGAUAAGUAAUGUGAAUUGCAGAAUUCCAGUGAAUCAUCGAAUCUUUGAACGCACAUUGCGCCCAUUAGCAUUCUAAUGGGCAUGCCUGUCCGAGCGUCA